rnacentral:rRNA from 1 species
UACGUAGGGUGCGAGCGUUGUUCGGAAUUACUGGGCGUAAAGGGCUCGUAGGCGGCCAACUAAGUCGGACGUGAAAUCCCUCAGCUUAACUGGGGAACUGCGUCCGAUACUGGAUGGCUUGGAUUUGGGAGAGGGAUGCGGAAUUCCAGGUGUAGCGGUGAAAUGCGUAGAUAUCUGGAGGAACACCCGUGGCGAAGGCGGCUCUCUGGAACGCAACUGACGCUGAGACGCGAAAGCGUGGGGAGCAAACAGG